AGCAGCCGCGGUAAUUCCAGCUCCAAUAGCGUAUAUUAAAGUUGUUGCAGUUAAAAAGCUCGUAGUUGAAUUUCGGGGUUCAUACAUUGGUCGGGCUUUUUUGGUCUGUACUUAUGUAAUGGAUUCCUACCUUCUGAAUAACCGGCAUGCCAUUAAUUUGGUGCGCCGGGGAAGCAGGACUGUUACCUUGAAAAAAUUAGAGUGCUUAAAGCAGGCUAUCGCCUGAAUACAUUAGCAUGGAAUAAUGAAAUAGGACGGCAUGGUUCUAUUUUGUUGGUUUCUAGGAUCACCGUAAUGAUUAAUAGGGAUAGUUGGGGGCAUUAGUAUUCAAUUGUCAGAGGUGAAAUUCUUGGAUUUAUUGAAGACUAACUUCUGCGAAAGCAUUUGCCAAGGAUGUUUC
rnacentral:rRNA from 1 species